rnacentral:rRNA from 1 species
UACAGAGGUCUCAAGCGUUGUUCGGAUUCAUUGGGCGUAAAGGGUGCGUAGGCGGCGCGGUAAGUCGGGUGUGAAAUCUUGGAGCUUAACUCCGAAACUGCAUUCGAUACUGCCGUGCUUGAGGACUGGAGAGGAGACUGGAAUUUACGGUGUAGCGGUGAAAUGCGUAGAUAUCGUAAGGAAGACCAGUGGCGAAGGCGGGUCUCUGGACAGUUCCUGACGCUGAGGCACGAAAGGCCCAGGGG